rnacentral:miRNA from 12 species
GGGACAUUGUCGUUGGGCAUGGUGGGGAUGGGCUGGGGUUGAACUUGGGGGAUCUUAGAGGUCUUUUCCAACCUUAUUGAUUCUGUGGUUCU